GGAAUCAUUGGGUUUAAAGGGUCCGUAGGCGGGCAGCUCAGUCAGUGGUGAAAGUUUGCGGCUUAACCGUAAAAUUGCCAUUGAUACUGGUUGUCUUGAAUUGGUGUGAAGUGGUUAGAAAUGAGUAGUGUAGCGGUGAAAUGCAUAGAUAUUACUCAGAAUACCGAUUGCGAAGGCAGAUCACUAACACUAUAUUGACGCUGAGGGACGAAAGCGUGGGGAGCGAACAGGAUUAGAUACCCUGGUAGUCCACGCCGUAAACGAUGGUUACUAGCUGUUGGGCCGAUUGGGGCUCAGUGGCCAAGCGAAAGUGAUAAGUAACCCACCUGGGGAGUACGUUCGCAAGAAUGAAACUCAAAGGAAUUGACGGGGGCCCGCACAAGCGGUGGAGCAUGUGGUUUAAUUCGAUGCAACGCGAAAAACCUUACCUACUCUUGACAUACUUGGAAGCUCUUGUAAUGAGAGUGUGCCUUUUGGAACCAAGAUACAGGUGCUGCAUGGCU
rnacentral:rRNA from 1 species